rnacentral:tRNA from 1 species
GCACUCGUAGCUCAGCUGGAUAGAGCGCUGCCCUCCGAAGGCAGAGGCCACAGGUUCGAAUCCUGUCGAGUGCACCA